rnacentral:rRNA from 1 species
GAUGAACGCUGGCUACAGGCUUAACACAUGCAAGUCGAGGGGAAACGACGGGGAAGCUUGCUUCCUUGGGCGUCGACCGGCGCACGGGUGAGUAACGCGUAUCCAACCUGCCUCUGACUGAGGGAUAACCCGUCGAAAGUCGGCCUAAUACCUCAUGGCAUCGUCUGCGGGCAUCCAACGACGAUUAAAGAUUUCAUCGGUCAGGGAUGGGGAUGCGUCUGAUUAGCUUGUUGGCGGGGUAACGGCCCACCAAGGCAACGAUCAGUAGGGGUUCUGAGAGGAAGGUCCCCCACAUUGGAACUGAGACACGGUCCAAACUCCUACGGGAGGCAGCAGUGAGGAAUAUUGGUCAAUGGGCGAGAGCCUGAACCAGCCAAGUAGCGUGCAGGAAGACGGCCCUAUGGGUUGUAAACUGCUUUUAUGCGGGGAUAAAGUGAGGGACGUGUCCUUCAUUGCAGGUACCGCAUGAAUAAGGACCGGCUAAUUCCGUGCCAGCAGCCGCGGUAAUACGGAAGGUCCGGGCGUUAUCCGGAUUUAUUGGGUUUAAAGGGAGCGUAGGCCGUGGAUUAAGCGUGUUGUGAAAUGCAGGUGCUCAACGUCUGCACUGCAGCGCGAACUGGUCCACUUGAGUGUGCGCAACGCAGGCGGAAUUCGUCGUGUAGCGGUGAAAUGCUUAGAUAUGACGAAGAACUCCGAUUGCGAGGGCAGCUUGCGGGAGCACAACUGACGCUGAAGCUCGAAAGUGCGGGUAUCGAACAGG